rnacentral:rRNA from 1 species
GACAGAGGGUGCAAACGUUGUUCGGAAUUACUGGGCGUAAAGCGCGUGUAGGCUGCCCUGCAAGUCGGUUGUGAAAGCCCUGGGCUCAACCUAGGAAGUGCACUCGAAACUGCAGGGCUGGAGUCCUGGAGAGGAAGGCGGAAUUCUCGGUGUAGAGGUGAAAUUCGUAGAUAUCGAGAGGAACACCGGUGGCGAAGGCGGCCUUCUGGACAGUGACUGACGCUGAGACGCGAAAGCGUAGGGAGCAAACAGG